UAUCUUUAUUUGAAAUUUAACAAACAUCAAGCUUUAUAAGCUAAUCUCUGAAAGGCAUAAGAUUUGUUGGAUUUAAAGACAAUCUGAAUUUUUAGUGAAUUUCUAAGUAAAAAGGAUUGAUCACCAUGGCAGUUUGGAUCACUCAACUUCAAAGGAGGAAUUCUCAAGAUUGGAUCAUUAGAUUGCAACGAAAAUUGUUGAAUCAUGAGCAUCUUUAAGUUAGCCUUGCAAUAAGCUAAGAAUAAUUCAAAUAAAAUCUGAUUACAAAUUUUGGCAAAUUUUGGAGUAGAAGGGGGUGCCUGCCUUUAAUCCUUGCAUGUUAUCAAGGUACCUUCGCUUUCACCUCUCUUACUUUAUUUUU
rnacentral:lncRNA from 1 species